rnacentral:rRNA from 1 species
CAGUCGCCGCGGUAAUACGUAGGUCCCGAGCGUUGUCCGGAUUUAUUGGGCGUAAAGCGAGCGCAGGCGGUUUGAUAAGUCUGAAGUUAAAGGCUGUGGCUCAACCAUAGUUCGCUUUGGAAACUGUCAAACUUGAGUGCAGAAGGGGAGAGUGGAAUUCCAUGUGUAGCGGUGAAAUGCGUAGAUAUAUGGAGGAACACCGGUGGCGAAAGCGGCUCUCUGGUCUGUAACUGACGCUGAGGCUCGAAAGCGUGGGGAGCGAACAGGAUUAGAUACCCCCGUAGUCCCUGUCUCUUAUACC